rnacentral:rRNA from 1 species
GACGAACGCUGGCGGCGUGCUUAACACAUGCAAGUCGAACGGAAAGGCCCCUUUGGGGGUACUCGAGUGGCGAACGGGUGAGUAACACGUGAGUAACCUGCCCUUGACUUCGGGAUAACUUCAGGAAACUGGGGCUAAUACCGGAUAGGAAUCCUUGCUGCAUGGUGGGGGUUGGAAAGCUUCGGCGGUUUUGGAUGGACUCGCGGCUUAUCAGCUUGUUGGUGGGGUAGUGGCUUACCAAGGCUUUGACGGGUAGCCGGCCUGAGAGGGCGACCGGCCACAUUGGGACUGAGAUACGGCCCAGACUCCGACGGGAGGCAGCAGUGGGGAAUAUUGCACAAUGGGCGGAAGCCUGAUGCAGCAACGCCGCGUGCGGGAUGACGGACUUCGGGUUGUAAACCGCUUUCAGCAGGGGCGAAGCUUGUGGUGACGGUACCUGCAGAAGAAGCACCGGCUAACUACGUG